rnacentral:rRNA from 1 species
UAUCUUACCUUUGCAUAAUGGACUAACAAAAUAAGUUGGUAUCUACUCUGACACGAAGAGAGGUGAGCUAAGUAUAAAUGCUUUUAGGGCACAUUACGUUGCAUAGUAAUAAUAAAAUAUGUACUUAGAGGUGAUAGGCCUUCCAUCCCUCUGGAUAACUUGUUGCAUAAAAAAAAUAUUAAGUAUUGAGGCAGACUAAUAAAGCUAAGCUUGUUAGUAUAUAUAAAUAUUAAAAACCUAUGGAAGUAUAGUGUAAUAGCUAACUUAUAUAAAAUAAAAUAUUGAGCUUAUGUUAUUAUAUAUAUUAUUAUGCCACCUUGUUUAAGUUGCAGGCAGAUAAUGUUAGUAUAAGUAGUUAAAUUAAGCAUUCUUAAGGAACUCGGCAACAAGAUACCCAACUGUUUACCAAAAACAUAACUGUAUGAGAUACUAUGCAGCUUUUUCUGCUCCAUGAUAUGUUAAAUAGCCGCAGUACCCUGACUGUGCAAAGGUAGCAUAAUCAAUUGGCUUUUAAUUAAAGUCUGGUAUGAAUGAACGUAUGGGUAAUGACUGUCUAAGGAAUGUUAAUUCAAAAUUAUCAAGUUGGUGCAAAUGCCAACAGGCUUAAAAAAGACGAGAAGACCCUAGAAACUUAUAGUUGAUUUUGCUGGGGCGGCAGAAUUGCAUAUAACCAAUUUUAAUUUACGUGAAGCGACGCAGAAAGAAAAAGUUACUCUAGGGAUAACAGCAUAAUUUUAAUAGUUUGUGACCUCGAUGUUGGACUAGGGAUGUUACCUUCUAGAAGAAGGUAAUUAUGGCUCUGUUCGAGCCCUUAGCCCCUACAUGAUCUGAGUUCAGACCGG